UACGUAGGGGCUAGCGUUAUCCGGAAUUACUGGGCGUAAAGGGUGCGUAGGUGGUUUCUUAAGUCAGAGGUGAAAGGCUACGGCUCAACUGUAGUAAGCCUUUGAAACUGGGAAACUUGAGUACAGGAGAGGAGAGUGGAAUUCCUAGUGUAGCGGUGAAAUGCGUAGAGAUAUGGAGGAACACCAGUGGCGAAGGCGGCUUCCUGGUCUGUAACUGACACUGAGGCGCGAAAGCGUGGGGAGCAAACAGGAUUAGAUACCCUGGUAGUCCCUGAG
rnacentral:rRNA from 1 species